rnacentral:rRNA from 1 species
GACGAACGCUGGCGGCGUGCCUAAUACAUGCAAGUUGAGCGCUGAAGGUUGGUCCUUGUACCAACUGGAUGAGCAGCGAACGGGUGAGUAACGCGUGGGGAAUCUGCCUUUGAGCGGGGGACAACAUUUGGAAACGAAUGCUAAUACCGCAUAAAAACUUUAAACACAAGUUUUAAGUUUGAAAGAUGCAAUUGCAUCACUCAAAGAUGAUCCCGCGUUGUAUUAGCUAGUUGGUGAGGUAAAGGCUCACCAAGGCGAUGAUACAUAGCCGACCUGAGAGGGUGAGCGGCCACAUUGGGACUGAGACACGGCCCAAACUCCUACGGGAGGCAGCAGUAGGGAAUCUUCGGCAAUGGACGAAAGUCUGACCGAGCAACGCCGCGUGAGUGAAGAAGGGUUUCGGAUCGUAAAACUCUGUUGGUAGAGAAGAACGUUGGUGAGAGUGGAAAGCUCAUCAAGUGACGGUAACUACCCAGAAAGGGACGGCUAACUACGUG